rnacentral:rRNA from 1 species
CGUAGGGUGCAAGCGUUGUUCGGAUUUACUGGGCGUAAAGGGCGCGUAGGCGGCGUGUUAAGUCAGCUGUGAAAUCUCCAAGCUCAACUUGGAACGGCCAGCUGAUACUGAUGUGCUAGAGUGCAGAAGGGGCAAUCGGAAUUCUUGGUGUAGCGGUGAAAUGCGUAGAUAUCAAGAGGAACACCUGAGGUGAAGACGGGUUGCUGGGCUGACACUGACGCUGAGGCGCGAAAGCCAGGGGAGCAAACGGG